ensembl:lincRNA
CUUUGUCAACUAAAUGAGUGGUAAGAAGACAGUAGGAAUUUAUUUAAAAUAAUCUUGCAUUAUUCUAAGGUUACUAGAGUGCCAGCCAAUGUUUUACACUUUUGUUUUAUGGUACAGGAAAGGGAUUAUUGCAUGCAGAAUGUGAAUUUGAAGUCCUUCAGGAUUCUGAUCAACAGCAAGAACUUUAAUGAAUGCAUUCAUUACUAUUUCUUACUUAGCAUGUACUGGGGCUUGGGCUAUAGAGUAAAGUGGGAAAAUGGACCUAUGUAUUUUACUGAGAUUUCAGCAUUGACAGUAGAAUUGUUCUGGUGAAUACUGAACUUAUAAGAAGGUCCAACUAAGCAGAUGUGGAAUUUUGCAGGCAUUUCCCAGGAUAAAGUGACAUAUUCCUCUCCCUCCUGGUGAAGCUUCAGCUCCAUUAAUCAUGACCACUCGGACACUUCAAUGAAUUCAUGGAAACAGUCACUGCCAUGCUCUGAGGAGGUCUAUUGAUUUCUAGGUGCCUUUGCAAUUCAUGACGGAGAUCAGAAAGUUUUCAGCCAUCUGCACAGAUGCUAUUCAUCCCUCUGUGUGUGUGUGUCACAUGCGUGCACAGAAGAAAGGCUUGCCAAGUUUAUCAGCCGGAGUCUUUACAGAUCACGUGAAAGUCUUGUUUUCUUUUUAAGGAGGAGCCUCUGGUGUCUGAUGCCUUUGAUCUGGGCAAGAGACAGCCUUGCCUUUGUGUACAGUGGAGGUUCCUCACCCUGUAGGCUCUGCCAAGGCCUGAGUAUGAUGCUGUGGGUGAUUCACUGUCCAGAAGAUGAUGAGGGCCUGGGUCAGGACCAGCCUGGAAAUACUGCUGCAGUCACCGCUUCUCCAGCAAGGACCCUGAUGGCUUUCCCUGAACAGGCUCAUGGGGAUGACCAUGGUUUCCUAACUGUCAGGGUGCAAACUCCUUUUUCCUGGUCCCCAGACUGUGCAAGCAUCUGCUGUGUCAACCUGCCACAUCCAUUGACACUGUGCACACAGACUUAACCACCUGCUGCCUGUGUAAUUCGCCCACUUUGCCUUCCAGAGAGCAAGGUAAUGCGAGGGUGGCAGGAUGCUGGGAAGAGGGGAGGGGACAUUGUUGGUCCAGGGUCAGCUGUGACAAUCUAGCUCCAAGAUGCAGUAGUCUUGCAGCCAAGGCAGCCGGUGUCUUUCUCACCUGUGAGUCUACACUUUGUUCGAGAAGCCACUUGCUCCUGGAAUUUAACAAUGUGGUAUUAUCUCAUGAGAGCCGUGGUGGUAGUAGGUGCAGAAUGCCGGAGCCUCGCUGAGAAGGAAAUGGGUGAGUGUGGCUUGGGGAGGUGGGGCAGCUUCACCACACAGUCUGAAUCUUCUGUGCCAUUGUGAGGCAGGAUAGGAACUUGCAAUUCUUCCUUCCCAAAGUGGAGAGUCACAGAAGGGUUCAAAGCAUGGAGGAACAUGAGUCAAUUGCUUUAGGAAGACAAUUCCGGGAGAGAUAAGAAACUCAGCAGCCGCGCAGGAUGCUCUAUUUGUGGACAGGAUUUGUGACAAGCAUAAACUGCUGGUGAAGGAGGCUGUGAUGGAGCUUGCUGGUAUUUCUCCACUUCUUCCAGGGUGCUAGAUAUUUUAGCCAGAACCAUGGGUCUUGAAAUAAAAUAAAGCCUGUAUUUUGCAGACUCUCUUGAAGGUAGUUGAAGUCAUGAAACUGAGUUCCAGCCAAUAAUAUAUCUAAGCAGAAGAGUUGUGGGCAGUUGUGGGGUGUUUUUCUUAGGAGACAACCAGCACCUGCCUGUGCCCCACCUCCAGGCAUGCCUUUCUCCUGCCGCUGACACCAUCCUGAGCUCAGCGUGACCACCAUGCCCCAGGGAUGGGGAAGUGUGAGCUGAAGGGAGCCAGGGGCCAAGUCUCACAGAACACUGGGUUGUAAACAGCAAAGAUGUCCACCUCUCUCUAUUUUAAGUCACAGUUACUUGGUGGGGUGGCGGGGCUCUGUUAUUUGCUCCAGAAAUAAUUCUGAGUAAUGAACAGACCACUUGGACUUUCUCUUCUGGAACAGUUUCAGAAGUCAUGAUGUGGCUGGGCAUGGUGACCCACGCCUGUAAUCCCAGCACUUUAGGAGGCCGAGGCAGGUGGAUUACCUGAGGUCAGGAGUUCGAGACCAGGCUGGCCAACAUGGUGAAACCUUGUCUCUACUAAAAAUACACAAAAAAUCAGUUGGGUGUGGUGGCGUGCGUCUGUAAUCCCAGCUACUCAGGAGGCUGCGGCAGGAGAAUCACUUGAACCCGGGAGGCAGAGAUUGCAGUGAGCUGAGAUCACACCACUACACUCCAGCCUGGGUGGCAAGAGCGAGACUCUGUCUCAAACAAAACAAAACAAAACAAAAGUAAUGAUGUGCCCAGCUGAAGAGCAUCCAGACGCACCUGAGCUCCCAAUGCCCUCCCAUCACCAACCAGCGGGCCCCCAUGGUGGGUCCCAUCUCAGAGCUCCCCAUGCGUCCUUUCAACCACGCAUGUCUUCAUGGUCCUUAUGAAUGGCAAAGGAAAGCAAUCCUCCCAGUGAGUAAGAGGAUCCCUUCGGUGUUGGGCCACAAAGCUGGCUCUGACACUCAGUCCUUUGUCACAGUCCCUGAGUCAAGUCCCCUUCCUAGAGAGGCUCUGUGUGGUCAGUGAAGUGGAACGACAGCCGGAUCACACACCUGUGAUCAAAGGAGGGUGGCUGUGCACAGCCAGUGCUGUGGUGUGCGGGGGCUCCAUCUCUGUCUCAGCCCGGGCCUUCAGUGACGUGGGGCCCUUUGCAACCCCUGAGGCUCCUUGCAGAACAAAGGAGUUACUGAGGCAGCUGGCUGUGCUUGGCACCUCCCCG